rnacentral:lncRNA from 1 species
UAUCAAUUAUGGUGGCAUGUUGUUGCAUUUGAUAAUCUCUUACUAAUUUUUUUAAAUAUAUUUUUAGUUCUGAUUUGAUUAGUUUCAAAAUUUUAUAUUUAUUUUAUUUUUAAGAUAAAAACAAGAUUUUAAUCAUAUUAUAUAGAUGUGAAUAAUCUUUAUCACUCUAUUAUAUAGUUCUAAAUAUUUUUUAACACUCUAAAUAAGGGUAACAUGGUACAAAUGUUUGAAAUUCUAAAAAAAAAAACAUAUUUAAAAAAAAAAGAUUUAAGGGUAGGCGCCACUCCUAGUGGCGACUUGCCCUACCCUUUAAGGGUAGGCGCCAACUAGGGUGGCGCCUAGGUGUAUAUUAGGGCAAAAAUUGCCCAUUUUUGUAAUUUUUUUU